GAUGAACGCUGGCGGCGUGCCUAAUACAUGCAAGUCGAGCGAACAGACGAGGAGCUUGCUCCUCUGACGUUAGCGGCGGACGGGUGAGUAACACGUGGAUAACCUACCUAUAAGACUGGGAUAACUUCGGGAAACCGGAGCUAAUACCGGAUAAUAUAUUGAACCGCAUGGUUCAAUAGUGAAAGACGGUUUUGCUGUCACUUAUAGAUGGAUCCGCGCCGCAUUAGCUAGUUGGUAAGGUAACGGCUUACCAAGGCAACGAUGCGUAGCCGACCUGAGAGGGGCAGCGGCCACACGGGAACUGAGACACGGUCCAGACUCAUACGGGAGGCAGCAGUAGGGAAUCUUCCGCAAUGGGCGAAAGCCUGACGGAGCAACGCCGAGUGAGUGAUGAAGGUCUUAGGAUCGUAAAACUCUGUUAUUAGGGAAGAACAAAUGUGUAAGUAACUAUGCACGUCUUGACGGUACCUAAUCAGAAAGCCACGGCUAACUACGUG
rnacentral:rRNA from 1 species